rnacentral:rRNA from 1 species
AGAGUUUGAUCAUGGCUCAGAUUGAACGCUGGCGGUAGGCUUAACACAUGCAAGUCGUGCGAGAAAGUACCUUCGGGUGCGAGUAGAGCGGCGGACGGGUGAGUAACGCGUAGGAAUCUACCUAGUAGAAGGGGAUAGCCCGGGGAAACUCGGAUUAAUACCGUAUACCUCCUUAGGGAGAAAGAGGGCUUAGCUUUGAUGCUCUCGCUAUUAGAUGAGCCUGCGUAAGAUUAGCUUGUUGGUGAGGUAAUGGCUCACCAAGGCGACGAUCUUUAGCUGGUCUGAGAGGACGAUCAGCCACAUUGGGACUGAGACACGGCCCAGACUCCUACGGGAGGCAGCAGUGGGGAAUAUUGGACAAUGGGCGCAAGCCUGAUCCAGCCAUACCGCGUGUGUGAAGAAGGCUUUCGGGUUGUAAAGCACUUUAAGUAAGGAGAAAAAGAUUGUAGUUAAUACCUGCAAUCCGUGAUGUUACUUACAGAAUAAGGACCGGCUAAUUCCGUGCCAGCAGCCGCGGUAAUACGGAAGGUCCAAGCGUUAAUCGGAAUUACUGGGCGUAAAGCGCGCGUAGGUGGUUUUUUAAGUUGGAUGUGAAAGCCCUGGGCUCAACCUAGGAACUGCAUCCAAAACUAGAUGACUAGAGUACGAAAGAGGGAAGUAGAAUUCACAGUGUAGCGGUGGAAUGCGUAGAUAUUGUGAAGAAUACCAAUGGCGAAGGCAGCUUCCUGGUUCUGUACUGACACUGAGGUGCGAAAGCGUGGGUAGCGAACAGGAUUAGAUACCCUGGUAGUCCACGCCGUAAACGAUGACAACUAGCUGUUGGGAGACAAGAUCUCUCAGUGGCGCAGCUAACGCUUUAAGUUGUCCGCCUGGGGAGUACGGCCGCAAGGUUAAAACUCAAAUGAAUUGACGGGGACCCGCACAAGCGGUGGAGCAUGUGGUUUAAUUCGAUGCAACGCGAAAAACCUAC